UGUUGUUUUUAACCAGGUUUUCCGAAGGAAAAAACUGGUUAUUAGAUUGGCGAAUGCGGGCGGGCUGGCUGGCUGGCGGGCUGGCUGGCUGGCGGGCUGGCGGAAUAAGCUUGUCCGGGCCAUAACUAUGUCGUUCAUUGUCAGAUUUUAAAAUCAUUUGGCACAUUUGUUCACCAUCAUUGGACGGUGUGUCGCGCGAAAUAAUUACGUCGAUAUCUCCAAGGUCAAGGUCACACUUUGAGUUCAAAGGUCAAAAAUGGCCAUAAAUGAGCUUGUCCUGGCCAUAACUAUGUCAUUCAUUGUGAGAUUUUAAAAUCAUUUGGCACAUUUGUUCACCAUCAUGGGACGGUGUGUCCCACGAAAGAAUCACGUCAAUAUCUCCAAUGUCAAGGUCGCCACGACUAAAAAUAGAUUUAAAAAAAAAAAAAAAAUUACAAAGGGGGUUAAUUUUUUUUGGUCAUUUCAAAAGUUCA